rnacentral:lncRNA from 1 species
ACCCCAUAAAUAACCCUAAAUCCUGUUCUCUCCAAGGCAGAUUGAGGCUAGCUAUUCCAUCCCUGUGGGGGACUGCCCCAUUGAUUAUACCCAAAGCAGGCUGUAAGCAGUACAGGCUUACAGAAUUAACCCCACCACUGGCUUGUUUAUAGAAGUGAGUCUGGCCAAAGCCUACCUGCCAAAGUCCCAGUGACUCUUACCCAAAUUCCAUUCCCAGAAUUAAAACCUUCUUUACUAAAAAGACAAGGUCAUAUGCUAAUCACAACCUGUAUUUUGUCUGUUCUAUUGCUAAUUCAAAAAUGCAUUAUCAAGGCCGGGGAUUUAGCUCAGUGGUUCCACCUCCUGCCUAGCAAGCACAAGGUCCUGAGUUCGAUCCAUGGUAUCAAAAAAAAAAAAAGCAUUAUCUCUUUCUUUACAAGUCUUACCUGAAUCAACAAUGUAUCCCUAGUAACUACACAUAGCCCCUUUACUGUGACCUAACUGUGAUGUCACAAUAAAUAUCAAUGACUUUGGCUGGCCAGGGCUUUUGGUUGCUCAAGCCUUUGGUUGCUCAAGCCUCUGACUGCUCAAGCACUGGUCAUCCUGGUUCCCUGUAUCUGUUUCUUUCAUUCUGUCUUUAAGUCUUUCUUCUCACCAUGCAUCAUAGCACUGAGCAGGAGAUUGGGAUCCACUGCAGGGGUCUCCCUCGUUGAGGGCUACUCAGAGUGGACAGAGUGUAUUGACAACACAUGGCUCUUGAAUGACAAAUGAACUAGGGAUGUCCAAAGAGGAAGCAAAAGCCCGGAGCAAAAGUCUGGAAGCAAAACAUCACCCGGGUACCCCUGAACCUGACAGGUUGGUAUCAGCAGUGCUGCCCACUUUGGAGCACGGAUCACGGACUCAGCUCACUGCCAUCUCUCCGUGUGCUGGUGUCUUUCUGGAGCGCUCCAGGAGGGAAGCACACACUCGGAAGAUUCCUCCAGCCUCCCCAGGAGAAAGUGAACCUGCAGGUCAGUGAUCUCCACACCUAGCACACAGGCUUCUCCCUCCUUGGCAAAGCCAGCUCCGAGCCUCCUCCAAUCCCAGACUUCAAUUUGGUCUUCUCUGCUUCUCCUGCUUCCACUUCCAACUUUCCAAGUCUCCCAGGACCCAGACAAUCUCCUUUCAUCAAACCUCCUGACGUGAGUGAGCCUCAAAGGCCCAGCAGGAAGUCACAGUUUGUCCCAGAUGAGGCCUUCCCCUCCCUGGAACACAGAAACAGCUGAAGCCAGUUCUAGGCUUGUUUUAUUUUUGCUUUUUGUUUGUCUUUAUUUUCUCCUUCCUGUCACACUUCCAGAAUGGGUCCAUAGGCAAUCAAAGCGCACAUCAAGACAGCCUGUGUUGUCUCUUGCUGGUGUUCUGGUCCAGGUAUAUAAUUAAGGAUCACUUACUUUCUUUAGCUCAUGAAUUCACAUGUAUUAUUAUUAUUAUUAUUAUUACUUUUUGGUACCGGAGAUCGAACUCUGGUCCUUGCGCUUGCGCAGCAGGCGACGAAACCACUGAGCUAAAUCCCCGGCCCACAUGUAUGAUUUUUUAAGUACUGGGGAUUGAAACUAGAGUCUUCGCCCUGAGCUACAUCCCAGCCUCCCCCACCUCCCCGUUUUGAGACCCCAGCCUCAGUGCACUAAGUAGCUAAAUGGCCCAGACUGGGCUCUAACUUGUGAACUACCUGCCUCAACCUCCUUGAGUGCUGGGAUUACAGGGGUGUACCACUGUGCCAGGCUCGGCUUUUUUUUUUGGUACCGGGGAUCGAACUCUGGUCCUUGCGCUUGCGCAGCAGGCAGUGAAACCACUGAGCUAAAUCCUUGGCCCUUUUUUUUUAAGACUGGGUCUCCCUACGUAGUCCAGGCUGGCCUUGAACUCACUAUGCAGCCCAGGCUGGCCUAGAACUUGCAGGAUCCCCCUGCCUCGGCCUCCCAAGUGCUGGGAAGACAAGUGUGUGCCAUUCACAUCCAUCUAAACCUCGCACCACCCCCCUCCACCAAAUUUAAAUGAAAACACAUAGGUGAAUUCUCAAAUUUGCUUCCGUGUACAUCAAGACAAAUGCAUAGCAAUAUACUCUAUGGCUUAUUCUUUAGCUUUAUGAGAAGAGAAGGUAAAACAAUACUUCACACUCUUGUCUCAAUAUAUAGAACCAGCCGGGCGAUAUAGGACCACAUCUACUUCCUUAUUUCAAAAAAAAUACUUGAGCGAUUUCUAUUCUGGAGAAGUUGGAGUUAGAUUUCUUAAAGCUACAGCCGGGCUCAGACCUAACAGUCUUUGGGGCAUGAAAGAUAGUACUCAGCCCAGCCCCAGCCAACCAAACCCUUCCAGAACAGUCCACACUAACAACUGUCUUCCACAUGCCAAAAAUAGAGCCUUGACUAAUCUAUAUUCUCUGCUUGAACGUUUUUUUCCUGGUUGCGUUUCCAAAUUUAAGAGAAGGCUUAGUUGCUCGCCUUCCUGCCUCAGAGUACUUUGCUGGAGUUGCUGAGGCUCGCAUGGCCGUGGAUCAGGGAAGAAGGGAGAGGGCAGCAGCUGCAGCUCAGGGGCGGCGCUUGCCUAGCACACGUGUAAGUCCACAGGUUCCAUCCCAUCCCUGUUUCCCCAAAGCAACAAGAAUCAAAAGAAACACUUGCCAGGGGCCAGGGAUUUAGCUCAGUGGUUUCCCUGCCUGCUGCGCAAGCGCAAGGACCAGAGUUCGAUCCCUGGUACCAAAAAAAGAAACACUUGCCAGGUGUGGGGUAUGCCUGCAAUCCUGGCACUCGGGAGGCUGAGGUAGGAGGAUCACCAUGAGUUUGAGGCUAACCUGAGCUACAUAGCAAGACCUUGUCUCAAAAAGCCAAAAAAAGAAAAACAGAAAAAAAAAAGGCUAAUGAUAGUUGUUUCUGCUAAGUUUUCACAAAGGCCCAGCAGGGCCCUAACCCACUCCUGCAGAGCUGCCCUCACCCCACCACUACGAUGAUGUCUACAUUGGCCUUGGAAACUUUCCCUCACACAGUCCUCGUCCUGUGCCACAAGGUAACGCCACGGUCACAAUGGCAGUGCCACUGUGUCACUAACUGAAAGCGAAACUGUUGGUUUCAUUCCAAAACACAUUACCCACAAAAAUAAAAAGUAGACACAGCCUUAGUUCUUUCGAGGAAAUUCUAAGAGGGUGGAGGAAAGUUCAGAAAGUCAAGCUGGCCACACGGAUGGGAUGAAGCAGCUGUUCUCUUAUCACCCUCUCAGUCUUCGGCCAGUGCCCUUCCCUCUGCCCUAACCACCGAGCAAACCCAGAUCCCCCCUCGCUCUCAGCCCCCAGGCACCGAGCUGGCCCAGAAGCACCCAGGGAGACCCUGCAGGCCCAGGUCCCAGGGGCCACUCAGGACCCACUAGGAACCUCAGGCUGAGGGCCAGGGGACAGGUGCCCUGUGACAAAGAAUUUUCCCUACAGACAAGAUGAGCUCAGGAGUGGAGAGUCAGCGAGCUGUGUGUUGCCAUGGGAGCUGGAGCAGGGCUCUGGGAGCAGCCUCUGUGGGGCGGGUCCUGCCCUACUGGGAGAUCCAGGGUUGUCCCUUAGAUGGCAGCUCCUUCCCUUCAUUCCAGUCUUGGCUUUGGAGUCACCACCUCAGAGCCGGGUGUGAUGGUGAUGUCCAUGAUCCCAGUCUGGGAGGUUGAGGCAGGAGGAUGGAAAGUUUGAGCCCAGCCUGAACAACUUAGCAACUUUAGUGAGACCUGUCUCAAAAUAAAAAAUAAAAAGGGGAGGAUGUAGCUCAGUGCAAAGGCCCUGGGUUCAAUCCCCAAUAUGUAAAUAAAUAAAUAGAUUGAUAAAUAUGUAUUUUUAAAUGUAAAGGCCUACCAUCCCUAGCUAAAUGAAGUGCUUAUUUAAUUUGUGUGUGAAUACUGAAGUGCAGCCCCUGGCCUGCACUGCAGAGGCCCCAACAGAUCAUCCCACGAGACCCGAGAUCCCAUCAUGUCGAGGCCUGGGGAGCCC